UACAGAGGGUGCAAGCGUUGUUCGGAAUUAUUGGGCGUAAAGCGCGUGUAGGCGGCUUGGCAAGUCGGGUGUGAAAGCCCUCAGCUCAACUGAGGAAGUGCGCCCGAAACUGCUAGACUUGAGUGCCAGAGAGGAUGGCGGAAUUCCCCAAGUAGAGGUGAAAUUCGUAGAUAUGGGGAGGAACACCGGUGGCGAAGGCGGCCAUCUGGCUGGUAACUGACGCUGAGACGCGAAAGCGUGGGUAGCAAACAGG
rnacentral:rRNA from 1 species